GAUCUACUCCCUCCGUUCGGAAUUACUUGUCGUGGAAAUGGAUGUAUCUAGACGUAUUUUAGUUCUAGAUACAUCCAUUUCCGAGACAAGUAAUUUCGAACGGAGGGAGUAGGUG
rnacentral:pre_miRNA from 1 species